rnacentral:lncRNA from 1 species
AUGAUGUGUUGAUAGAAGGAACAAAGGAGGAGGAGGAGGAGCAGAAAGAGGACGAGGAGGACGAGGAGGAGGAGGAAAAGGAGAAGGAGGAAGAGGAGGAAGAUGAGGCCUGUGGAGAAGAGAGACCAGGGUCCUAAGGCCAGUCUGUAGAGGGCCCGAGGUCUUUGGGCUUCCAGGUGAUGUAUUUGAGGAUGAAGGUGAUGCUGAUCUCGUGUUGUCUAGAAUGGUGUGGAAGGAACUCCCAGACUUAAGAGCUCUUUUCUCUGCAGCCUCCCAGGACUUAAGCCCCAUGCACCGAAGUACCUGACUACCAACAUGAAUUAUGUGUUUAGUUGAUAGCGUGGAUAUUUAGGAGAGAAAUCAUUCAUUAGCUGUUUCAAAAGCACUUCACAGACUGGCAAGAUGGAUCAGCAGGGAAAGGCAUCGUUUGGUCUGCAAGCCUCGCAAGCUGAGUUUAAUCCCUAGAGCUCACAGAACUGCAGAAGAGAACCAACUUCUCACAGUUGUCCAUCUGCAUGCUGUGGCCCUCCUCCAUAAU